AAUGAGGUCAGUUGUGCUGAUCUAGUUUAGUAAAAGUUAUCUUGGGCCUGGGUGUUUGCUGAGCACAUUGUCAGAGACCUGGUUAUGAAAAUGUUUGAUUCAAUUCAGUUUUAUUUGUAUAGUGUUUUUAACAAUGGACAUUGUCCCAAAGCAGCUUUACAGAAAUAUAUCAAUUCAGACAAUAAAUUUUAAACGUAUGAAUUUAUCCCUAAUGAGUACGCCAGAGGUGACGGUGGCGAGGAAAAACUCCCUCACACAAUAUGAGGAAGAAACCUUGAGAGGAACCAGACUCAGAAGGGAACCCAUCCUCAUCUGGGUGACACCGGAUAGUAUAAUUAUAAAUAAAUCCCUUCUAUAAAUGUGCUAAUACUACAUGUUGGAAUAGUGCAGGUGUGCAACCAGGAAAAUUCAUCAGUUUUUACAUGAAGUCUGUUUUGUUGAACUUCUCCACUGUUCACUGAUUGAGACUCGAGUGCAAAACUGUUUGUGGUUAUUGUAGUGCUGAGGGUAUAAUUGUAGUCCUGGCCAACAUAGCAGAACUGUUCACAUGAACUGAGGUCCAAAGCCAUCUUAAUGGUUUUUAAGUGCCAUCCUCAGCAAUCCCAGUGACCUCCAGGCUGCACCAUGCGGGGCCAUCCUCAGCAGCUGCAUGUGACUUCCAACUGAUGAGAACUCCACUCGGAAGUAGGGCAUUAGGAUAGAUCAGGCAGGUCAGGAUCAUUGGUAUCGCAGGAGUAUCAUGUGUAGCUCGACAGAGAGAGAGAGGGAAAUAGAGGGAGAGAUUAUUAGUUAUGCUUAUUGUCCCGUAAUGGUUAAGGACAAUGUACUUUGCGUGAGUGCAAGCAGGUACUCCGGCAAGACUAGCUAUGACAGCAUAACUAAAGGGAGAGCCAGAAGGUAAUACAGACAACAGGGCACCCUGGGACAAAAGGCAGCCAGCCACCCCACCAUCAACAAUUUUUCAAUUCAAUUUUAUUUGUAUAGCGCUUUUUACAAUAGACGUUGUCUCAAAGCAGCUUUACAGAAAACAAGCCUGGGUGAACGAGUUAAAGUGGCGGGGUGACUGCAUCCAAACAUCCCAGUUCACCACAUCACACUCUGCCUGUACCAACAAAUAGCCUGCACCUUUUGAGUGAAAUAGGCGUGGUUGAUCAUAAAAGACCAAAAGUUCGCACAGUAAGGACUCUUGCAGCUGCAGUCUGGACUAACUGGAGUUUGUUUAUGCUCCUACUGGAACAUGCAGACAGUAAGGCAUUACAGUAAUCUAGCAUAGAGGUGAUGAAAGCAUGAACUAAUAUUCCUGCAUCAUGUAGUGACAUUAUAUUUCUUAUCUUAGCAAUAUUUCUGAGAUGAAAGAAGGCUAUCCUAGUAAUAUUAUCUACAUGAGCGUCAAAUGAAAGACUGGGGUCAAUAAUCACACCAAAGUCUUUUACUGCUGCACAUGAUGAAACAGAAAGUCCAUCCAGAGUAACUGUGUAAUCAGAAAGCUUACUUCUAGCUGCACGUGGUCCUAGUAGAAGUUCUUAUCAGUCUUAUCAGAAUUAAGUAAGAGGAAGUUAGUAAGCAUCCUUUACAUGGUCCUCAACUUUAUUGAGCUGGUGUCUGUCAAAUGUUGCAAAAAAUAGUAAUGUUUUAGUGUUAAUUAAUCAGGAAAAAACCCAUCUCGGAAGCAUUUUG